UACGUAGGGGGCAAGCGUUGUCCGGAUUUAUUGGGCGUAAAGAGCGUGUAGGCGGCCAGGUAGGUCUGCUGUGAAAACUCGAGGCUUAACCUCGAGCUGUCGGCGGAAACCAUCUGGCUAGAGUCCGGAAGAGGAGAAUGGAAUUCCCGGGUGUAGCGGUGAAAUGCGCAGAUAUCGGGAAGAACACCCGUGGCUAAGGCGGCUCUCUAGUACGGUACUGACGCUGAGACGCGAAAGCGUGGGGAGCGAACAGG
rnacentral:rRNA from 1 species